rnacentral:rRNA from 1 species
GACGAACGCUGGCGGCGUGCUUAACACAUGCAAGUCGAACGGAAAGGCCCUGCUUUUGUGGGGUGCUCGAGUGGCGAACGGGUGAGUAACACGUGAGUAACCUGCCCUUGACUUUGGGAUAACUUCAGGAAACUGGGGCUAAUACCGGAUAGGAGCUCCUGCUGCAUGGUGGGGGUUGGAAAGUUUCGGCGGUUGGGGAUGGACUCGCGGCUUAUCAGCUUGUUGGUGGGGUAGUGGCUUACCAAGGCUUUGACGGGUAGCCGGCCUGAGAGGGUGACCGGCCACAUUGGGACUGAGAUACGGCCCAGACUCCUACGGGAGGCAGCAGUGGGGAAUAUUGCACAAUGGGCGGAAGCCUGAUGCAGCAACGCCGCGUGCGGGAUGACGGCCUUCGGGUUGUAAACCGCUUUCGCCUGUGACGAAGCGUGAGUGACGGUAAUGGGUAAAGAAGCACCGGCUAACUACGUGCCAGCAGCCGCGGUGAUACGUAGGGUGCGAGCGUUGUCCGGAUUUAUUGGGCGUAAAGGGCUCGUAGGUGGUUGAUCGCGUCGGAAGUGUAAUCUUGGGGCUUAACCCUGAGCGUGCUUUCGAUACGGGUUGACUUGAGGAAGGUAGGGGAGAAUGGAAUUCCUGGUGGAGCGGUGGAAUGCGCAGAUAUCAGGAGGAACACCAGUGGCGAAGGCGGUUCUCUGGGCCUUUCCUGACGCUGAGGAGCGAAAGCGUGGGGAGCGAACAGGCUUAGAUACCCUGGUAGUCCACGCUGUAAACGGUGGGUACUAGGUGUGGGGUCCAUUCCACGGGUUCCGUGCCGUAGCUAACGCUUUAAGUACCCCGCCUGGGGAGUACGGCCGCAAGGCUAAAACUCAAAGGAAUUGACGGGGCCCCGCACAAGCGGCGGAGCAUGCGGAUUAAUUCGAUGCAACGCGUAGAACCUUACCUGGGUUUGACAUGGAUCGGGAGUGCUCAGAGAUGGGUGUGCCUCUUUUGGGGUCGGUUCACAGGUGGUGCAUGCCUGUCGUCAGCUCGUGUCGUGAGAUGUUGGGUUAAGUCCCGCAACGAGCGCAACCCUUGUUCACUGUUGCCAGCACGUUAUGGUGGGGACUCAGUGGAGACCGCCGGGGUCAACUCGGAGGAAGGUGGGGAUGACGUCAAGUCAUCAUGCCCCUUAUGUCCAGGGCUUCACGCACGCUACAAUGGCUGGUACAGAGAGUGGCGAGCCUGUGAGGGUGAGCGAAUCUCGGGAAGCCGGUCUCAGUUCGGAUUGGGGUCUGCAACUCGACCUCAUGAAGUCGGAGUCGCUAGUAAUCGCAGAUCAGCAACGCUGCGGUGAAUACGUUCCCGGGGCU